rnacentral:lncRNA from 1 species
UUGGGCCCAGUCAGUGGGGACCUGCACAAACCCAGGCCCAGGGGAUGCCCAAUGCUGUGAGGAGGCUCAGACAGCAGGAAGGAGAGAAGGAAGGAAGGAACUUCCAUAGUGCUGAUGCCUACAAAAUUACAACACGUGGUGCUGUUUCUACUCCAUCGCCAUGUUCGCUCUUUAUUUCCUAUGUAAUUCUCUAUUCAACCGGCCUCAGUUGAGCACAAAACCAUCCUUGUACCACCAUGAAUAGUUGGCCAUGGCUCUUUGAUAGCAGUUUUUAUUCUGCCGUAGAAAUUAUCCUUGAACCAGAAAAAAAAAAUCCGCAAUUCAACACUCCACCUUUGUGAAGAGCUGGUUCCGAAUUCUGGGUCACUUUUUGGAAAAAAUAUCUGUUGUGGUAAACAGUGCUGCAUCUGUGAUCUCAAGUCUCUACUGGAAUUGGAUAGAGAUGGUGAAUUUCAGCCAGAGCGCCCAAAGAACUCGUGUCCCGUGCUCCUGAAUGCCAUCAGCCGCCGCACCUCCAUCUUCCCUCCUCCCACGAGUCUCCUGCUCCCCGUGACUCU